AGCUACAGGCUUAACACAUGCAAGUCGAGGGGCAGCAUGGUCUUAGCUUGCUAAGGCCGAUGGCGACCGGCGCACGGGUGAGUAACACGUAUCCAACCUGCCGUCUACUCUUGGACAGCCUUCUGAAAGGAAGAUUAAUACAAGAUGGCAUCAUGAGUCCACAUGUUCACAUGAUUAAAGGUAUUCCGGUAGACGAUGGGGAUGCGUUCCAUUAGAUAGUAGGCGGGGUAACGGCCCACCUAGUCUUCGAUGGAUAGGGGUUCUGAGAGGAAGGUCCCCCACAUUGGAACUGAGACACGGUCCAAACUCCUACGGGAGGCAGCAGUGAGGAAUAUUGGUCAAUGGGCGAGAGCCUGAACCAGCCAAGUAGCGUGAAGGAUGACUGCCCUAUGGGUUGUAAACUUCUUUUAUAAAGGAAUAAAGUCGGGUAUGCAUACCCGUUUGCAUGUACUUUAUGAAUAAGGAUCGGCUAACUCCGUGCCAGCAGCCGCGGUAAUACGGAGGAUCCGAGCGUUAUCCGGAUUUAUUGGGUUUAAAGGGAGCGUAGAUGGAUGUUUAAGUCAGUUGUGAAAGUUUGCGGCUCAACCGUAAAAUUGCAGUUGAUACUGGAUAUCUUGAGUGCAGUUGAGGCAGGCGGAAUUCGUGGUGUAGCGGUGAAAUGCUUAGAUAUCACGAAGAACUCCGAUUGCGAAGGCAGCCUGCU
rnacentral:rRNA from 1 species